GUCACUAGUGUUUCUGGAGUGGUGCAGCUCUUUUCCUCCUUCAACACUCUCUGAGGCACCACUCCAUACCACUGUAGACUAUGAGUUACUGAGUGAGGAAGACAGAGGGCCUUUCUUACAAGUGCUGAAUCGGUAGAUACUUGUAUCCGCUCCUGACAGACGGAGGACAGUUCUCCCAGGGAAUGUAUUUUUAGCAAUCACUA